UCAUACUGUUCAUCUGAAUGGGUGGGUUCUCUUAUCACUAACUCUCAUAGAUAUGUAUCAUGUGUGUAUCUAUUAUGACAAAUUCUGCUCGCUCGCUCGCUUGGUUCGUGUUAUAAAAAUAAAUGUGACUUUACUGCGGUCUUUUUCGGUUUAUUUAGUUUUAUGUUAACUAUAUCCACAAAGUAUUCGAAUAAAUUGGUAAUAUAAAACUAUUCUUCAAUGUAAAUUAAUUGUGUGCUCAAUUGCGACGCCCUGUGUUGAAUUUUCCCGCGAGUACAGUAUCAUUACUGAGGGGAAAUAUAACAUUAUUCAUUUAAUUCCACAAAACGUGAGUAAGAUAUUAAAUGUAUAAGUUGUCUUUUUAAAAUGUUUAAGCUUUCUACAUAAUGUAAAUUGAACAUUUUAUUAUUAUUAUUAUUAAUUUCGCGACCUAUUAUCUAAAUUGUGUGUUCAUGAAGGCCUGUAACGUACUGCAGCUUCCUGCAGGCAACGUGAAACAUUGCUGAGGGAGAACUUUAUUCACAACAAAAGGAUAAAGAUGAAGAUGCGGGACUUGAGCAGCUUGUGAUGGCUGUAAUUGUAAAGAAUGGAUCUUCUAGGAGUGGAAGCCCAAAGGAUGCUGGAAUUGUUAUUGAGGCCUUAAAGGUGUUCACGGGGCAUGCUUUAUCCUUGGAUCUAUGCAUUGAAUCUCCAGUAUCCCAUGCAUCUUUUCAGGUGUUUCAGAAACUUUUCUUGGAGCAGGAUUCUUCAAAACUUAUAAACUGAUUACAGUACAGUAAGUCUAAACUGCUGUCUGAUUUUCUGGGUGUGAAUCAAUGUAACAGAACACAAACAUGGAACCUUUCGUCGGGAAAUGUGGACGGUUUUCUUUAAAGACUGUAAAAUACUUUUUGAAGUUUACACUGUUACAAAUACAUCAUUAAAAUGAGAUGCUUUCCUGUUCUUUUGACUGCAAUAAAAUAAGAAUUGAUUCAUCUUUGUCUGUCAUUCUGAAAUCAGAUAUAAUACUCAUUACUAUAAAAAUAUUAAUGGAUGAUGUUAAAUUAAAAUAGUAUAAUUGAAUAGUAUUUAUUGUAUAGUGCUAGGUCUUUGUCCUGUAUACCCAAUAUUUUGUUUAAAUUUAAAUUAAUUUCUAAUUGCAAAUUGCAGAUUACCUUUUUGAAUGGGUUACUAUUAAGGAGUUUAUGUAGUGAUUCUAACACAAUUUUUAUUUGUGGAAUUUAAUUAAUGAUAUUGCUUGUAAUCUGUUGCCACACUUUUAUUGAGUAGAUAUGGCAUAAUAUUUUUUAUUGUAUAGUGCUAGAUCUUUGUCUAGUAUACACAAUAUUUUUGUUUAAAUUUUAAUAAAAAUUUUAAUUGCAAA